GCCUGGGUGGCUUAGUUGGUUAAGCGUCUGACUCUUGAUUUAAACUCAGGUCAUGAUCUCACGGUUUGUGGGUUCGAGCCCUGCAUCAGGCU
rnacentral:tRNA from 1 species